UGCUGAUAAUAUGGGACCUUCUCUGUUCUAAGGAGCAUAUCAGCUGACUUGCAUUGCCGGAAUCUUUAAGGAGUUAACUGAAUCUGAGAAAAACCAUACCUUUCUCGUGAUGGAGAUCUGCCAAGCUGUGACUUUCUCUUGCAGCUGGGCUUGGCUUCCUGGCAGGUGUUGAUCACAAGAGAAGUUGGAGUUUUCCCUGGACUGUUGGGGUUGUUUGAAUUUGUUCCAAAUGGACAUCAGACUUAGGGAUUCAGCUCACAGUGUCCUGCUCUGUACAUCAGAUUUUUUUUCAUUGUGAAACAGCAGUCUGAGGAACCCAACAAAGAGGCCCCGGCUACACAAAAAUAAGAAAAGAAGUUGGAAAAUUAAAUUCUUUGAAUGUCAGAGGAAAAAAAAAUCUACACCGCAUAAAAUUUCCUUUCUCGAUUGUGCUUGAUUAGCAUAUUACUGAGUUCAGCCUACACCUGCUUUUCACCCUCCUUAAUUUCAAUUACAAUGUGCUCUUUUGUGUCGCACCAUUUAUUGCUAAAUGAAUCUGGUUCUAA